AAGGAACCUGCAGAGAGGCGCCCGGAGUCAUGGGGGGGCGGGGGAAUGAAGAAAUGCAGCAUGAGUCAGUCUGGCACGGCAUGUACUCAACACACCCACACAACCUAACGUGGAGGGAAAUAAUCAGAUGCUGCCAGACUUGCUGAGGAGUAACUUUUUGUAUUUCCUGUGCUGCUGACAGCUGAGACUGCUGAGGAAUAUCCCAGGAGUGACAUUUCCCCUGCUGCAGCCUGACUUUAGUGAUGUUCGGUGGAACCACUGGAUCUGGGCAGGUGGUUCACAGAAAAAUUCAAGGAAAUGGAGAAUUUUCUUUUGUAAAUAGUCGCUUGUAACUCAGUCAUGCCUUAGAUAAGGUCACAAUUCUUGUAUUGGAGUAUUGCCUGUUGUCAACUUAUUUGACGAAACAGUUCAUGUCGAACUGAGAAUGCAAUGGAACAUCAGUAGAGUUACAGAAAUGACUAAAACUUAUAUUGUUCAAAUUUGAACUGAAGACACUUCAGUAAUAAACAGUUGUUUCUUCGUAUUAAAGAAAUGUUUGAUGAGAGUUUCAAUAUUUUAAGGUUAAUUGUGUAUGUAUAGUCAAUAAGAAGAUAUCCUUCCUGAGAUGAGGAGACCAAAACUACACACAAUACUGCAUGUGUGGUGUCACUGAGGGCCUGUGCAAUUGCAGCAAGACAUCCCUGCUCCUGUACUCGAAUCCUCUUAUGAAAACCAACAGACUAUUUAUCGUCUUCAUCACCUGUGGCAUCUUCAUGCUUACUUUUAGCAACAGAUGUACAAGGCUUUGUAGUACCUCCACCUUUCCCAGUCUGCUACCAUUCAGAUAAUAGUUUGCCUUCCUCCUUUUGCUCCCAAAGUGGAUAACCUCACAUCUAUCAAAUUAUACUUUAACUGCCUUGCCUUUGCCCACUAGCUCAACUUGUCAG